rnacentral:rRNA from 1 species
CCUACGGGCGGCAGCAGUGGGGAAUAUUGGAAAUGGGCAAAAGCCUGAUCCAGCCAUGCCGCGUGUGUGAAGAAGGCCUUCGGGUUGUAAAGCACUUUCAGUGGGGAAGAAAGCCUUGGGGCUAAUACCCUCGAGGAAGGACAUCACCCACAGAAGAAGCACCGGCUACUCCGUGCCAGCAGCCGCGGUAAUACGGAGGGUGCGAGCGUUAAUCGGAAUUACUGGGCGUAAAGCGCGCGUAGGCGGUCUGAUAAGCCGGUUGUGAAAGCCCCGGGCUCAACCUGGGAACGGCAUCCGGAACUGUCAGGCUAGAGUGCAGGAGAGGAAGGUAGAAUUCCCGGUGUAGCGGUGAAAUGCGUAGAGAUCGGGAGGAAUACCAGUGGCGAAGGCGGCCUUCUGGACUGACACUGACGCUGAGGUGCGAAAGCGUGGGUAGCAAACAGGAUUAGAUACCCCAGUAGUC